UAGACAUUAUUGGCUGAGGAACUAUAC
rnacentral:sRNA from 1 species